ACAACUAUUAAUAACAAAUACGUAUAAUUUUCGCAUGAAGAUUAUAUAAAAGUAGCGUUUGCUACACUAAGAGAGCGGGGUGCGUAACAUUAGUUAGUUGGUGAGGUAAUGGCUCACCAAGACGAUGAUGUUUAGCGGGGUUGAGAGACUGAACCGCCACACUGGGACUGAGAUACGGCCCAGACUCCUACGGGAGGCAGCAGUAGGGAAUAUUCCACAAUGAACGAAAGUUUGAUGGAGCGACACAGCGUGCAGGAUGAAGGCCCUAUGGGUUGUAAACUGCUGUGGUAAGAGAAGAAAAAACCGAGGAGGAAAUGCCUUGGUCUUGACGGU
rnacentral:rRNA from 2 species